rnacentral:rRNA from 1 species
AAUAGAUACCCUGGUAGUCCACGCUGUAAACGUUGGACACUAGGUGUGGCGGUCUGAUCAACGACUGCCGUGCCGAAGCUAACGCAUUAAGUGUCCCGCCUGGGGAGUACGGCCGCAAGGCUAAAACUCAAAGGAAUUGACGGGUCCCCGCACAAGCAGCGGAGCAUGCGGCUUAAUUCGAUGCAACCCGAAGAACCUUACCUGGGUUUGACAUCAUGGGAAAAGCCGUGGAAACACGGUGUCCGUAAGGGCCCAUGACAGGUGGUGCAUGGCUGUCGUCAGCUCGUGUCGUGAGAUGUUGGGUUAAGUCCCGCAACGAGCGCAACCCUUGUCCUAUGUUGCCAGCGGUUCGGCCGGGGACUCAUAGGAGACUGCCGGGGAUAACUCGGAGGAAGGUGAGGACGAUGUCAAGUCAUCAUGCCCCUUAUAUCCAGGGCUGCACGCAUGCUACAAUGGUCGGUACAACGGGCAGCGAUCCUGCGAAGGUGAGCGAAUCCCACAAAGCCGGCCUCAGUUCGGAUUGG